rnacentral:rRNA from 1 species
AGAGUUUGAUCAUGGCUCAGAACGAACGCUGGCGGCAGGCCUAACACAUGCAAGUCGAGCGAGGACUUCGGUUCUAGCGGCGGACGGGUGAGUAACGCGUGGGAAUGUGCCCUUUGGUACGGGAUAGCCCUGGGAAACUGGGAGUAAUACCGUAUGUGGUCGAGAGACGAAAGAUUUAUCGCCAAAGGAUCGGCCCGCGUUGGAUUAGGUAGUUGGUGGGGUAACGGCCUACCAAGCCGACGAUCCAUAGCUGGUUUGAGAGGAUGAUCAGCCACACUGGGACUGAGACACGGCCCAGACUCCUACGGGAGGCAGCAGUGGGGAAUCUUAGACAAUGGGGGAAACCCUGAUCUAGCCAUGCCGCGUGAGCGAUGAAGGCCUUAGGGUUGUAAAGCUCUUUCAGUGGGGAAGAUAAUGACGGUACCCACAGAAGAAGCCCCGGCUAACUCCGUGCCAGCCGCCGCGGUAAUAC